rnacentral:rRNA from 1 species
CACGUAGGGCGCGAGCGUUGUCCGGAAUUAUUGGGCGUAAAGAGCUCGUAGGCGGCCUGUUGCGUCCGCUGUGAAAGCCCGGGGCUUAACCCCGGGUCGGCAGUAGAUACGGGCAGGCUAGAGGUAGGUAGGGGAGAAUGGAAUUCCCGGUGUAGCGGUGAAAUGCGCAGAUAUCAGGAAGAACACCCGUGGCUAAGGCGGCUCUCUAGUACGGUACUGACGCUGAGACGCGAAAGCGUGGGGAGCGAACAGG